CCCUUAGAUGCUCUGGGCCGCACGCGCGCUACACUGGUCGAUGCAACGAGUUUCUUUCCUUGGCCGACAGGCCUGGGCAAUCUUUGAACAUCGAUCGUGAUCGGGAUAGAUUCUUGUAAUCUUUGAUCUUAAACGAGGAAUUCCUAGUAAACGCAAGUCAUCAGCUUGCAUUGAUUACGUCCCUGCCCUUUGUACACACCGCCCGUCGCACCUACCGAUUGAAUGGUCCGGUGAAAUCUCCGGACUGGCGUGAGUCGGAGCAAUCUGACAAACACCGGAAAGUUGAUUAAACCUUACCAUUUAGAGGAAGGUGAAGUCGUAACA
rnacentral:rRNA from 1 species